rnacentral:tRNA from 1 species
GGGCCGCUAGCUCAGCCUGGUAGAGCAGCUGACUCUUAAUCAGCGGGUCCAAGGUUCAAGUCCUUGGCGGCCCA